rnacentral:rRNA from 1 species
UACGUAGGGCGCAAGCGUUGUCCGGAAUUAUUGGGCGUAAAGAGCUCGUAGGCGGUUUGUCGCGCCUGCUGUGAAAACCCGAGGCUCAACCUCGGGCUUGCAGUGGGUACGGGCAGACUAGAGUGCGGUAGGGGAGACCGGAAUUCCUGGUGUAGCGGUAAAAUGCACAGAUAUCAGGAGGAACACCGAUGGCGAAGGCAGGUCUCUGGGCCGCAACUGACGCUGAGGAGCGAAAGCAUGGGUAGCAAACAGG